rnacentral:misc_RNA from 1 species
UAAUUCCAUUCAAUUCCAUUCAAUCAUAAUCCCUUUCGAAUCCAUUCAAUAAUUCCAUUCCAAUCCAUUCGAUAAUUCCAUCUAAUUCCAUUCAAUAAAUCCAUUCGAUUCCAUUCUAUAACGAUUCCAUUCAUUUCCAUCUAAUAAUAAUUCCAUUCGAUUCCAUUCAAUAAUACCAUUCGAUUCCAUUAAAUAAUAAUUUCAAU